UGUGUUUCUUUGGACAGUAAUCACGGGACCCAGAUGCUAAGGGACACUGUGGCUUGUUUCAAAAUCUGUUUCUGAUGACCAGUCCUUUCUGGUUCCUGGCUUUUUGAAGAUGUGUGCCUGUUACCUGGGGUUUGCAGGACUGGACCUGUAGAUCAUGAGCUCUUUCACCCAUAGUUUUUAAAAAUCUGAUAUGAAAUGGUGUGAGUCUGGAGGAAAUUGUCGUUUUAAGUGCUCCCAGCUUCUCCGCAUAGUGCUUCAGUCCCGAAAAAGUUUCUUCAAAGAAACUCCCAGCCUGGAACUGGUGCAGCUUUGCAGAGUGGAGCUCUCACUGUACUUCAAAGCGGAGAAAAUCUCGCAGCUGUCUGGAGCC